rnacentral:rRNA from 1 species
GAUGAACGCUGGCGGCGUGCCUAAUACAUGCAAGUCGAGCGAACGGACGAGAAGCUUGCUUUUCUGAUGUUAGCGGCGGACGGGUGAGUAACACGUGGAUAACCUACCUAUAAGACUGGGAUAACUUCGGGAAACCGGAGCUAAUACCGGAUAAUAUUUUGAACCGCAUGGUUCAAAAGUGAAAGACGGUCUUGCUGUCACUUAUAGAUGGAUCCGCGCUGCAUUAGCUAGUUGGUAAGGUAACGGCUUACCAAGGCAACGAUGCAUAGCCGACCUGAGAGGGUAGUCGGCCACACUGGAACUGAGACACGGUCCAGACUCCUACGGGAGGCAGCAGUAGGGAAUCUUCCGCGAUGGGCGAAAGCCUGACGGAGCAACGCCGCGUGAGUGAUGAAGGUCUUCGGAUCGUAAAACUCUGUUAUUAGGGAAGAACAUAUGUGUAAGUAACUGUGCACAUCUUGGCGGUACCUAAUCAGAAAGCCACGGCUAACUACGUG